UUAGAGAGGUUUUCUUAGUAAUCUAGGGUAAAAUAUCUUCAGGUUGUCUGGUUUUAACUAUGAAGAUAUGCAGAAAGCAGAAAAUAUAGCAUCAAUGAAAUAGAAUUCACUCAAAUGAGCACUUACUCAGUGAUCUAGGAAGGAUGAAUGCUGUGCCUUUAUUGGAUUCCAUCUGGAUAUCAGGGCACUACAGUAAAUCAAUAUUUUUAUACCAAAAGAUCAACCACAAACCAAACCCAAGGAAUACUAAUUCAUUGGAAAAUGCUCCUUUGAAGGAAUGGGAAGACAGCUGGGCAGGUGACAGCAGCAUUGAGACUGAAGGGAUGUCACAGUGUCUUCCUCUGCCUGAGAGCAUCAGUGGAGACUGGGAGCAAAUGAAGGUGAUGCUGCUUUGCUGUGUUAGAAACUGGAGAACUAGACCAACAGCACUGGUGAUGUUGGUAAGCAAUGUGAAAAGUGGCAUGUAG
rnacentral:lncRNA from 1 species